AGAGUUUGAUCCUGGCUCAGGAUGAACGCUGACAGAAUGCUUAACACAUGCAAGUCUACUUGAAUUUGGGUUUUUAACUUAGAUUUGGGUGGCGGACGGGUGAGUAACGCGUAAAGAACUUGCCUCACAGCUAGGGACAACAUUUAGAAAUGAAUGCUAAUACCUAAUAUUAUGAUAAUAGGGCAUCCUAUAAUUAUGAAAGCUAUAUGCGCUGUGAGAGAGCUUUGCGUCCCAUUAGCUAGUUGGAGAGGUAACGGCUCACCAAGGCGAUGAUGGGUAGCCGGCCUGAGAGGGUGAUCGGCCACAAGGGGACUGAGACACGGCCCUUACUCCUACGGGAGGCAGCAGUGGGGAAUAUUGGACAAUGGACCGAGAGUCUGAUCCAGCAAUUCUGUGUGCACGAUGAAGUUUUUCGGAAUGUAAAGUGCUUUCAGUUGGGAAGAAAGAAAUGACGGUACCAACAGAAGAAGUGACGGCUAAAUACGUGCCAGCAGCCGCGGUAAUACGUAUGUCACGAGCGUUAUCCGGAUUUAUUGGGCGUAAAGCGCGUCUAGGUGGUUAUAUAAGUCUGAUGUGAAAAUGCAGGGCUCAACUCUGUAUUGCGUUGGAAACUGUAUAACUAGAGUACUGGAGAGGUAAGCGGAACUACAAGUGUAGAGGUGAAAUUCGUAGAUAUUUGUAGGAAUGCCGAUGGGGAAGCCAGCUUACUGGACAGAUACUGACGCUGAAGCGCGAAAGCGUGGGUAGCAAACAGGAUUAGAUACCCUGGUAGUCCACGCUGUAAACGAUGAUUACUAGGUGUUGGGGGUCGAACCUCAGCGCCCAAGCAAACGCGAUAAGUAAUCCGCCUGGGGAGUACGUACGCAAGUAUGAAACUCAAAGGAAUUGACGGGGACCCGCACAAGCGGUGGAGCAUGU
rnacentral:rRNA from 1 species